GCUGGGGCUAACAUAGGGAGCUCACCCACCUUCAUGGAUUCGAACUGCUAUCAGCAGUUUAGCGGUUUAACCUGCUGUGCCAUAAAUGCAUAAAAGAGUACACAUUUGAUUUGUCACUGUUCCUUUCUGUUUGUUUUGCUUUAUAAAGGUUGACUUCUGCAAAGGUGGCAGUAGUUUGGAAACGUCUGAUUUAGUUAGCACUACUGAGCAAAGAGGAUGUUUAUCCGGAAUAGAGACUUGAUCCUUUGUUGAAUCUGGCAUGGGCAGCUGACAUUGAUGUUCCAGUUGACAUUUCUGUAAAUGAAGAGGGAACCCCAAAGGAAAACAAUGCAUCUGAAACCAACCCCAUAGAAGAUUCAGGGUCAAGUGAGUACAUUGCUUCUGGCCAUGUGGGCUAUGGAAACACUUCUUUGACAUGGACCCUCAGGU
rnacentral:lncRNA from 1 species